AUUGAACGCUGGCUGCAGGCUUAACACAUGCAAGUCGAGCGAGCGGCGGACGUGUGAGUAAUGUCUGGGAAACUGCCUGAUGGCGGGGGAUAACUACUGGAACCGGUAGCUACUACCGCAUACCAUCAGAUGUGCCCAGAUGGGCUUAGCUAGUAGGUGGGGUAAUGACUCACCUAGGCGACGAUCCCUAACUGGUCUGAGAGGAUGACAAGCCACACGGGAACGGAGACACGGUCCAGACUCCUAAGGGAGGCAGCAGUGGGGAAUAUUGCACAAUGGGAGCAAGCCUGAUGCAGCCAUGCCGCGUGUGUGAAGAAGGCCUUCGGGUUGGAAAGCAAUUUCAGCGAUGAGGCGUUACUCGCAGAAGAAGCACCGGCUAACUCCGUGCCAGCAGCCGCGGUAAUAC
rnacentral:rRNA from 1 species